GAUGAACGCUGGCGGCGUGCCUAACACAUGCAAGUCGAGCGAUCUCUUCGGAGAGAGCGGCGGACGGGUGAGUAACGCGUGGGUAACCUGCCCUGUACACACGGAUAACAUACCGAAGGGUAUACUAAUACGGGAUAACAUAUGAAAGUCGCAUGGCUUUUAUAUCAAAGCUCCGGCGGUACAGGAUGGACCCGCGUCUGAUUAGCUAGUUGGUAAGGUAAUGGCUUACCAAGGCAACGAUCAGUAGCCGACCUGAGAGGGUGAUCGGCCACACUGGAACUGAGACACGGUCCAGACUCCUACGGGAGGCAGCAGUGGGGAAUAUUGCACAAUGGGCGAAAGCCUGAUGCAGCAACGCCGCGUGAGCGAUGAAGGCCUUCGGGUCGUAAAGCUCUGUCCUCAAGGAAGAUAAUGACGGUACUUGAGGAGGAAGCCCCGGCUAACUACGUGCCAGCCGCCGCCGUAA
rnacentral:rRNA from 1 species